rnacentral:rRNA from 1 species
CUACGUGCCAGCAGCCGCGGUAAUACGGAGGGUGCGAGCGUUAAUCGGAAUAACUGGGCGUAAAGGGCACGCAGGCGGUGACUUAAGUGAGGUGUGAAAGCCCCGGGCUUAMCCUGGGAAUUGCAUUUCAUACUGGGUCGCUAGAGUACUUUAGGGAGGGGUAGAAUUCCACGUGUAGCGGUGAAAUGCGUAGAGAUGUGGAGGAAUACCGAAGGCGAAGGCAGCCCCUUGGGAAUGUACUGACGCUCAUGUGCGAAAGCGUGGGGAGCAAACAGGAUUAGAUACCCUGGUAGUCCACGCUGUAAACGAUGUCGAUUUGGGGAUUGGGCUUAAAGCUUGGUGCCCGUAGCUAACGUGAUAAAUCGACCGCCUGGGGAGUACGGCCGCAAGGUUAAAACUCAAAUGAAUUGACGGGGGCCCGCACAAGCGGUGGAGCAUGUGGUUUAAUUCGAUGCAACGCGAAGAACCUUACCUACUCUU